UUAUAAACCCGAGCUAGGGUUUUACGAUUGGUGGAGGUUUCCGAAGCAUUGGGGCGGCAGGUUUUGCUCGGCCGAAAUUAGGGUUUCGUGGCGAUGGGGAGCGUGGAUCGAGUUGAUGAUAGGACCUUUAGGGUUAAUUUGACGGGCGAUUCAGUCAUCAAGUUGAAAGAGAGUGUGAGAGAGAAGCUUAAGGAGUUCAUGGGGGAUUACACCGACGACACUCUUGUGGAAUAUGUUAUUGUCCUUCUAAAGAAUGGCAGGGGCAAAGAAGAAGCAAAGAAUGAGCUGAACGUGUUUUUGGGGGAUGACAGUGAUUCUUUUGUUUCGUGGUUGUGGGGUCAUCUGGCUUCAAAUUCGGAUUUGUAUCUGCAAUCAGAGGAUCCUGAGAUGGAAGAUGUGAGUAAAAGAAAAACCACAUCAGGUGACCUUACAGGAAAAAGUGAUUUGUAUCAUUUGGGUUCUGAGCCAGAAAGGGAGAAGUUUAAUAAGUCAACUAAAAGCCUGGCACACUAGAGAAUGGAAAGGGCUAACAAGGGAUGCAGCUGAGCCCCCUCCUUUUCGAAGCUCCGAGAUCGGAGAUAUUCAUGUAGAAGAAAAAAGUCGUAGCAAAGUCAGUGAUGUGAAGUCUCCUUCGCGUCAACCAGCAGCUCAAAGGAAAAGGAUUCGGCCUGAUGAGCGACACAAUACAGAGAGGGAACCAGUUUCUGAAGUGAAUAUUGAUGCCCCUCGACGGCUACUCCAAUUUGCUAUGCGUGAUGCAUUAACGACCUCAAGGCAAUCCAAUUCAGCAACUCAGCCCACAUUGAAGCGUCUUCGUUCUGUGGUAUCUAAACCCACUGUUGACUCAUCAUGGGUUGAUCGUCCUCGACGGAUACAGUCUGUCGCCAGGGUGCCAAAUCCCAUGUCAACUGUAAUGAAAGCUGUUGCAGAAGCUGCUGAAGAUGUAACAAGAGUUAAACCUUCAGGGAGUGUGUUUGACCGACUAGGUCGUGGUAUGGAGUUUUUUGAGACCAGUGUGCCUCUUGCACCAUCCAGAGAUGCUGCUACCGAGGAUGUUGAAUUUGAAGAUGUCGUCCAACUUCGUGAGCAAAAACGAUCGUCAUAUCCGGCUAGAAGUGAAUACAGUGGACAGUAUGUAGGGAAUGCUAUGUUAGAAAGUGAAACUGGUUUGGCUUCUGAUUUUGUAUUGGACAAUGAAGGGUUUGAUGACGUUAAUGUUAUGGGUCAUAUAGUUACUGAUGUUUCUCAAACUGGGACAUCUGGUGGAAGCAAGGGUGAAAAUUCACUAAUGGCGCGUUACAAUGUGGCGAAGAAUGUUGAUCAUGUUAUGCAGCUAUCCAGGAAUAAAGAUCACGGUCAACCUUUUGCAGCUGCGAAUUCUUCUCAUAAGAUUGUGAAUAUAUCUGUGAAUGUCAAUACUUGGAAAGCGCACCAUUAUCAGGAGCCAAGAGAAGUUGCUGGUGAUGAUUGGAAAUCCCUACAGAAUAGUGAGGCAGGGGUUGCCAAAUCUGGUUUGCAUGUGAUGAAGGAGAACGGCAAUCCUGUUGGAGCAAGUAAUGGAAAUGUAACACUUGCUGCAGAUUCUCCUAAGAUGCUUUCCUCUUCUGCUGGUCUAUAUGCCAGUGGACGCCCAUUGGAGGAUGCAGAUUCUCGAACUAUCUUUGUUAACAAUGUCCACUUUGCUGCUACAAAAGAUAGUCUUUCUCGACAUUUCAACAAGUUUGGGGAAGUGCUAAAAGUAGUGAUAGUUACUGAUGCAGCAACUGGGCAGCCUAAAGGGUCAGCUUACGUAGAGUUCACACGGAGGGAGGCGGCAGACAAUGCAUUAUCUCUGGAUGGAACCUCUUUCAUGUCACGGAUCCUCAAGGUUGUAAAGAGGGGAGCUGCACAUCAAGAAGCAGCUCCUGGCAUGACGUGGCCAAGGGUUGCCCGGGGCACUCCAUUUGCCACUGCGAGGUUUGGUUGGUCCCCAUUCCAGAGAGGCAUAUCUGGUGCACAUAGGCCUCGCCCCCUAAUCAAACCUGGUGCCAGGAGCAUGCAGUGGAAGCGUGAUACUCAGGCCAGUCCAGGUGGGACGGGUGCUCCUGUCACUGCCACUGCUGUUCCUACACCAACAGCUCGCAGUCUUAACCUAUGUUCGAACAGAACCUAAGCCAGAUGGAAACUAGUCCCGUAUAUGACGUUACCAUCUGCGAUAUGCCCGACAUGAAAAGCUUGUGGUCCUCGGAAUUCCAAUAAAUUGGGGUGUAUUCUUUUUGUAUAUGGUCGAGAACAUUUUUACAUGGAGGCGGAAGAAGUGAAGGCGAAGGCUUCCCCACUCGCAAAUUUUGGUUUUAUUCUUUGGGUUGGAGAUAAAAGGGAGUUAAAUUAUGGCAUGGGAUCAUAAAGCGAUGGAAAACAUUUUUGGAGACAAGAGUAGUAGUCAGCUCGACGAAGAUAUUACUGUUUAGGAUCAAAUUUGUGUAUAGGCGGACGGAUUAAUGGUUUCUUUUUUGAAGGAUAUUAACUUUAUUAAUCUGUUUCGUAACAUUUAUAUUUUGAUAAAAAAAAAAAAAGAUAAAAUGGGAAAAAGGAGAUAUUAAUUGCCUUGUA